rnacentral:lncRNA from 1 species
UUGUGCCUUCACACCUUUACGCUUUUCAUGAUUGGCUCUGCUACCUUCUGCCUCUGCAAUGAAAUAGUACCAUAGAAAUCCUUGUGCAUCUUACAUACAUUAACAAUUCCAUUUCUUCUCUCUCUGGUCCAGUGAAGGGAUCUCCCUUUCCCACAAAGGCACCACUGUCUCUACAAAGCACUCUGCCCCACCUCCAAACCCCCAACUAACAAAAAAAGAAAAAGAAAGAAGAACGGCAGUCAGGCUGGGUUAACUUGCCAAAUCCCAGACUUUCUCUGAUGAGUUAUUUCUCAAAAGAAGAAUCACCAGCAAAACAAAGGGCAUUCUUGAAGAGUCAGAAGUGGACUGUAAUUGAAGAGUUCAUUACCAAGAUCAGUUGGCUCCUUGAUUACAGUGGCAAGGUGAAAUAUAUAUCCUCACCAAAAAGCAACUGCUAAACCUUUAGAGAAGUCACCCACUUUUCACUCUUUUUCAUUAGGACCCCGACAAGCUUGUCAGCAAAAUUAAAGGUAUGUCAUUCACAUCGUGCAUGCAUUGCAAAGGACUAUAAACCUGCCAACCUCUUUGAUGAAAUAAA